ACCGCCUUCUCCGUAGAGCAGCCCGGCAGACUCCCAGUCCUCUGAAAACUUAGCCCCAAAUAGGGGGGUUUCGGAAGAUCGUCAGAGAUGUAGGAAAAAGAAUCUUCCGGUUUUGAAUUCGGAGACCUCCCCUUUGUCCCACUGAUGAUUGCACGUUUAUCCCUGAAAAGCCGUGUAAGAAACUGCAUGCAGGUUGCGAACAUGACUGCCGGAAUUCCUCCUGCUUCUUCAGGUUGCCGUUUGAACCUGAGCCCUGUUCUUGCCUCAAUUUAUAAAUUGGACAGAAAUAAAAAAUCCUUUCCCCUUGCAA